GUGAGGAACUGGGAACAAGGAGUGUGCAAGAAGCUCAGAGGCUGGCUCCAGCUUUUUUGCCGCCCCAAGCGGUGUGUGUGUGGGGAACCAAACCCGAUUGAGCUGCCGCUGAAGUGCCGCCGAAGAGGAAGAUAGGGAGUGAAGGACACACUGCCGAAUUGCCGUGGAAUACUGAAGCGGACCGAUUGAGCUGCCGAUGAAAUGCCGCCGCUGCUGACCUGGACAUGCUGCCCCAACAAUGCAUGGACUGCCGCCCCUUUCUAUUGGCCGUCCCAGGCACCUGCUUCCUUCGCUGGUGCCUGGAGCCGGCCCUGACUGUGAAUUAGGGUUCAGGUCCUCAAAGUUAUUUAGAUGCCUAAAUUGCCUUGAGGGUCUGGGCCUAUAUAUUUCCAGAAGCCUUGCCAAACUCAGAGUGAGCUGUUAAUAAAAGUGCUGUGAUUCUCUCCUAACUAAACAUUGCACUUUACAGACCAGUAAAAAGAAAAUGGGCCAGAACUUAAUCUCAUUUACAAUAGCUUAAAUCCAGAGUCAGUUCAUGAAUGUAAACAAGGUGACUCUGGAUUUAAACUGGUGUAACUGAGAUCAGAAUUGGUCUACAUGUCCCUGUCCCAAGGGGCAUACAGUCUAGGUAAUAGACAACGUGCAGUUGAAGGAUGAAGAAUGGGAUUGAAUAAAGCAGAUUAUUGAGCAA